CUUGGGUGCCCCGGCAAGGGGAGCGUGGGGCUCCGGGGGGCUGGUCUGUGCGAAACGGUCCUGGGCGCGCCUCGGCUGACCUGUCAGAUGGGAGGUUACGAGUUUGCUUGUCAAAAAGGGUGAUUCGGAGUGCAAACGUGGAAAGCUUGGGUUGGCUUGUUGUCUGCUCAGGUGGACGAGUUUCUUGACCUGUGUAUUUUUAACUCGGCUUUUUAAGGGGGGGACAUGGCAGUCUUCCGUGAAAAUCAAAUCCGCAACUUUGCACCAUGGCAGAGUCGGCUGCGGUGGAGUGCGGAGGGAAGGCGGCUGUAGCCAGCCCUUGUUCUACCCAAAUCCAGGGCGUGCUGUAGAAUUCAUGGGUGCUUAUAGAACUGCACAAAUAAAUGCGCCAACGGACACUGUGGAUACGUGAAAAAAUUGUCGGUCCUUCAGAAGUUCUUAACUCAGCGUUGUUGGUGUGGAGCAGGGAGGCUGUCUUCGGCAAGAGGCCGGGAAGUCCCUGGGUGAGCCCUGCGUUGGGCUUGAACGGGAUUUCUCCCUGUUGGAGAAUGGGUCUGGGCACGGUCUGGAUCCGCACCUUGUUGUAAGGUGACAUCUGCUAACUGGAGCAGUGGCGCGGACAAACCCGUCUUCGGAAAGAAACUUUGUUGUUGUUGUUGUGAACCUUGUAGUGAGAUCCUUGGCCGGCAAUAGUUAAAGGGGAUUCCUUUGCACCCCCUGCCCUGGGGGCCUGCUCCUGCUACCGGCAAGUAUGCUUUCUGUUGUUCCUUAGGAACAGCAUAUACUGCAAUGUCAACGAUUUGAGUUAGGUCCAGGUUAUUAUUAUUACCUUUUCUAAGGUACUUAUCUAAGCAAUCUCAUAGGGUAGCUGUAGCUGGGAUGAUGUUUCCACGGUCAUUAAAUAAGAUGCGCUACGGAAAAAAGGCCCAAAGUCUCUUAAUUUAGUGUCUUGACAGCAAGGGUUCUGAGAGAGAGGGAGGAGGAGUCUUGUUUCUUGUCUGAUUUGUAGAUCAGCAGAUGAUUGCAGUCAUCCCAGGCUAUUGUUAUUUUUACAGGACCUAAUUGAUCAAGGGCUAGACCAGGACUAGCCUGACUCUGCUGUCUCCCACUGAAGUUAAUGGCAGCCUUGAUAGACACAGCAUGAGUCCCUUUGGAUGGUAUAGCUCAUGAAUAUUCAUCUAUUUAUCCAAGUUAAGCUGCACUUGAAAACUAGCUAGUUAGGUCCUAAAAAAAGCCAACCUCAAAACCCAACAACUUAUUUUUAAUUUUAGCGGGGCUGAAAGCUGAUAGUCUGUUUGCUGCUGCUGCAGUACUUUGAAUAAAGCAGCUGAUCAGAACGGCAUCUUCAGGACCCGCCUCGGGUACCUGUGAUGUGCUGAACUACAAGGGACGCACGUGUUUUUAACAGCCCUCUGAGCUUUGCUCUGUGAGCGCAUCGCAUAAGUUUAUAGAGGGGAGCAAUAAGCAGUUCAUCUGUUGCAUUUUGGACACAGGACUUAUGAUGUGAAUCUAAAAUUCACAUUCUGUCUCAUCUCAUGAGGCAGGUGCUUGAAGUUGGAGAUCAUGUCAUCCUUCUUAGAGAAGCCGUUGUGUGCUGGCUGCACUGAACAUGGGUUAUCUUUGCAGAGAGAAAUACGUGAGAUUUUGGCAGGGAGGUGUCACGUAUGUGCAUCUGGCCAGCAGGGCUGAUGUGCUGAACACCACGACUGAGAACAGGGACUGACUCUGCAGCCAGUAGAGCUGUUACCCCACAAAAAUGGGACUGGAAGUCGGGAGUCCCAACUCCUGGCAUUCUGUGCUGUUUUGCAAGUAGCUACUCUUAGGACAACUUUCUAGCAGAUCUGCCAAAGAAAAUCAUGUAGAAGUUGUCCCGUACCUCAUCUGAUGGAAAAAAACCACAAAUAGAAGCCGUCUGCACAGUUGGGAUCCUUAUAAUAAAGGAUGGUCUAACGAGGUUCCGUAUGAACAGAAUUUUGCUGUCCAGUCUUUAUUUUGUUAAAAAGGCUAAAAUUUUAAGAGUUCUGGAUAUACUAAGAUUCUACUCCAGUUUUCCUUGUGUAUUCUGUAUUUACUGCUAUGGCGUCUUUAUCUUUUUUCCCCCAGAUGACCCUUACUGGUUAGAAUAGACCCAUUUUGGUGAAGACUCGAACUGUGCAAACCGCGUAGCAAAGACGGUUCUUUCCAGCUGCACCGGGAAGGCGUGCGGUGGAGGAGGCAGACGAGAGACGGGCGCGUUCUCGCCGCUAAAGCGGGUCUGUGUUGCUUCUGGAAUGGGAGCCCCAUCUUGCCCCUGCCAUACAGUUUCCUCCCGGCCAGGCCAUGCGCCCGCUUGCACAGGGUCCCCGUGAGAUCUCCAGGUUCAAGCAGAAACAGAGACUGCCGGUGGGGAGAGUUUCCCACGUGCCGUCUGGUUGCAGGAGGGCUCUGCUCUCUGCGUAUAUCGCGCUGUGACAGCUCAAGUUAGGUUCUUGACGCGCUCAAGUAUCCCAGCGUGGCGUUGGUUCCCUGCACGUAACAGAGUGAGAAUAUGCUCACUUCCCAAGAGGUGGUACGGUUCCUCUUGGAACAAAAACCCUCACACCUUGAUGCAGCUGCCACUGGGUACUUGUGAAAAAGAUGGAUACAAAGUUUUCAUGUCCAGUUAAGGCUUAACUGAAGCUGCAAAACUGUGAACAGCCACUCAUCACAGUAAAUG